CGGGAGCGAAAAAAGAAAUAAUUUUCGCGAUGACUCGUGUGUUGUGCGUUUUCCUCUUGAAGUAAAUUUGCUUUUGUGUCUUAACGAAGUUUCUAAAGAUCGCAAAUAACACGUCCAGUUGUUACACUUAUUUCGCGGAUCAUUUUGAACGAACAAAAUGACUACUAGGCAAGUUAUAAUCGCUUCAGAAGAAAGUGACUCCUCUGUGACGGAGGAAAGGUUGCACGGAAAGCUGGACACGAAGAAGGCCAAAAAGCAUAAGAAACAUAAAAAACACAAAAAAGCCAGUCGGUUGGAGAAAAGCGACAAGGCCAGGUCCAAGAAGCACAAAAAGCACAAACGUAAACACCGUGGCGAAGAGGGGGAAGUCAGUGAAUCCGAGGACGAUGAAGAGAAGCCCGCAAAUGGAUCAAAAAUAGACAUCCGCAAAUUGGAGCAUGCGAUUCGUGUGAGACCUAAGGAUGACGAUAGCAAACCGAAAGAUAAUGGGAAUUUGAAGGCAUCUCUGGAGAAGAAACAUAAUUCGGAAAUAUCGACCGAUCCUGAGAAAUUGGUUGCAAUUUUAACUGAAUCGCUGGAUAAGAAAAAGGAACAAAUUCAAAUGACGGUCCAGCCGGAUGUAGUGUCUGUCGAGAGUGACAGUGAUGGGACAGUUAUUGAGGACGUUCCAAGUCCAGACGUAGCGGUCAUCGAAGACGAACUGAAUUUGGAAGAUUUGAUGCGACAGAAAGCCCUGCUUCAGGCUCGUCUAGGAGAAUUUGUCUCCGAUGAAGACGAUGAGGACGAAGGCGAAACUAAGGAUGGUCACGAAAAAAAGGGCGCUGGAUCGAAACGCAAAAGCAAGAGGUCGGACGAGGAAAUCAUUACGAUAGAGGGUGACUCGAGUGCGGAGGAUGUUAACCGUCUUUUGAAGAAAGCACGUCAACGGAGCCGCUCACAAGGGCGUGAUGAACGGAAACGAAAGACUUCCGACUCGGACAAACGCAGCAGUCGUGGAGAAACGGAAGCUAAAGCUCGCGCUAAACAACAAGAUUUGGAACGGCAUAGAGAAGAGCAACGCAGACAACGAGAGCAUGAUGAUUACAGCCGUCGAAUGGCGGAGGAGCGUUAUGAGCGAGAAAGGAUACGAGAUAGAGAACGUGACCGCGAGCGGGAGCGUGAACGUGAACGUGAUCGUGAGCGUGAUCGGGAGCGGGAGCGAGAGCGCGAAAGAGAUCGUGCAAGAGCUAGACAAAGAGAUCGCAACAGGUCUGUUGAACGUUAUCGUGAUCGUCGUAGUCCGGUGGAACGUGGUCGACGGUCAGCGGAACGAAGCGGAGGAAACAGGUGGUACAAUUCUAGAGACAGAUUCCGAGGACGGGAUCGGGAAGCAUUAGAUAGGGAACGAUACGAUAGAGAUCGCACUGGCCGCAGCGGUAGAGACCACCGAAAUGGUUCAAAGCGAAAACCCGAUGAUGACAAAUUCAAAGAUUCGCUGAGCGAAGGAUUGAAACAACAAAAGGAGUCGAGUAGUGACAGUGAGAUCGGUGACAUCGAUAUCGAUGACGAAGAAGAUGAGGAAAAAAUCAUUGAAAAACGAAGGAAACAGCGAGAAGAAUUGUUGAUGAAACUUGGUGCUGUUAACAAAAACAACAUCCCACCUGAAGCGUUGAGCGAGGCAAAGAUCGAGGCCAAGUCAUCAUCGAAAUUGUUACGUAAAAAGGCAAAUGAUUUUUUCGUAAACGAAGAACUGUCUAAAGUAGACCAAAAGUCAUUAAAAGAUUCUCAUAAUCUUUCUCUUACCCCGCCAGUCCCAUCAACCAAAGUAAUUGCGGAGACGCACAAUGAGCUAGCUAGCGAGGAUCGAUCCAAACAAGAUAAAGGAAGUAAACGUGCCGAAUGGGACAUGUUUGCUGAGCAAGACAUCGAUUCAAACUUUGAUUCGCCAAAUACAGUGGUUGCUAACAAGCAAGGAAACGAGAAUCCUGCUCUCACGGACAAUUGGGACGAUGCGGAAGGUUACUACAGGGUACGCAUCGGCGAAAUUCUCGAUAAUCGUUAUGUGGUGGCCAAUUACACCGGUCAAGGUGUUUUCAGUACUGUUGUGCGAGCUAAAGAUCAGGCCAGAGGCAAUGCUUUGGUAGCCGUGAAAAUCAUAAGGAACAACGAAAUCAUGCAUAAAACUGGCCUCCGUGAGUUGGAAACAUUGAAGAAACUUAAUGACACAGACCCGGAAGAUCGAUAUCAUUGUCUCAGAUUAUAUCGACACUUUUUCCACAAACAACAUCUGUGCAUGGUUCUGGAACCUUUGGCAAUGAAUCUUCGAGAGGUACUUAAGAAGUAUGGCAAAAAUGUCGGUCUUCACAUCAAAGCCGUCCGAAGUUACACGCAGCAGUUAUUGCUGGCUCUGAAAUUGCUGAAAAAAUCCGGCAUUCUCCACGCCGAUAUUAAACCAGACAACAUCCUGGUUAACGAUAACAAUUUGGUGUUGAAACUGUGUGACUUUGGGUCAGCAUCGUCGGUCACGGACAACGAUAUCACCCCGUAUCUGGUCUCGCGGUUCUACCGUGCACCCGAGAUUAUUCUUGGCCUUUCGUACGACUACGGUAUCGACAUGUGGUCCGCCGGUUGCACCAUCUAUGAAUUGUAUACCGGCAAAAUUUUAUUUAGUGGAAAAUCCAAUAAUCAAAUGAUUAAAUUUUUUAUGGAUUUAAAGGGUAAAAUACCGAACAAGAUCAUUCGGAAAGGACAGUUCAAGGAUCAACAUUUCGACCAGAAUUGCAAUUUCCUGUCGCAUGAGGUGGACAAGAUUACGGAAAGGGAAAAAAUCGUCGUCGUGUCGGUGAUCAAGCCAAACAGGGAUUUGCAGCAGGAAUUAAUCGCUGGACAGAAUCUACCAGAGGAUCAAAUCCGGAAAGUUUCCCAACUGAAGGAUUUGUUGGACAAAGUGUUUGCGCUAGAUUCGGCCAAAAGAAUAUCAUUAAACCACGCUCUGGCCCAUCCAUUUAUACAGGAUAAGAUAUAAUGGAAUGGUGGCUCUCUAUGCUGAAACCACGAGCAACACAACACUAAGAAGAGACGAGACUUCUUUAUUUCCACAUUUUAUUAAAUCAGUUUGUGAGAAGCAUAGUACACGUUGGUGAUCUCUUGUUUUUACGAUGCAAAAAUGAGAGAGCACAUGGAUCGCAUGGCUGACGGGACUGGACAUAACGAGUCGCCCAACACACGGCCGCCCAGCGCAGUCAGCAUUUGCCUCUAUUUGUCAAUCUCAAGCCACACGAUAGGCUCUUAGCUAGAAUCCCAUCUUUCAAGCAAAAUAGCAAAAAAAACCCGAAGCGCACAGUGCGUGUGUGUGCAUUAGGUUGAGAAGUGCCUAAUUUUUGGUAGCACCGAAAGAGGUAGUGACAUAAUUGACAUUUACAAAAACCAAACUAUUUUAUUUCGUUUAGACCUUUAGUUUUCCAAAAUUCUAUUUACCCAUCCUUUCGUUUAUGACCUUUUCAUUAAUUCACUCGUUAAAGAAAAUUGUCCAAAUCGAAAUGUACCAUGACACUACAAAACAAAAACCGUGUUGUGAACAAUUGAUCUGCUGUUUUUUCUUCUAUGAUUCUUUUCAGAUGCGCGGAAGUCGAUCUUCACUCUCCCAUGGUUUAAAAUCUGGUUGCGAAGGCACUCCUCAUACACUGUCCAGAGUAAGUGGAAUCAGUAAACACUCGGUAAGCAUUUUGCUGCUCGAUAAUGCAGGUAAAUUAUCUACAGGUUUAUAUCGUAUGUAAAGUUUAAACAUAGUUAUCUUCCAAUUAUUAUUCUCAUGCGGAUCUCUUCGCAACCUGACCAUACUCUCAAACACCCCUAGACUCAUUAGCCGAUUGUCCAGUCCUUUCCGGUUGUUGUACACUACGCCGACCGUUACCACUAGCACACCGCUAUCCGUUAGUCGACCCUGGCAGCCAUCGAACAUUACGUUUGGAACGAACUGAAAGCUGUACUGAAAUUUCAAACUAAGAAUUAAAUUUAUAAUGUCCUUCUGUCCGCGAACCUCCUCAACCCCCUGUUGGGUUUCGCUGAUUUCGAGCAUCACUGAACAGACCGCAUCCGGCCAGAAGGCGCUCUCGUCCAGCGAGUUGCGGUUCCAUUUGAGGUAAAACCAUGUAGUGUAGUCUAGUGCUAGCAGGUUUACCGGAUAUUGUUCGAGUCCGGGUUCGGUCGUUUCAUAUCCCGGUCCAUUCGUGUUAUUGCCAAUCGGUCCACCCGUCGCAACAAGAUUUUUCAUGUUUCCAACGGUGGUGUUCUGCAUGGUGCUGUUUGAUGAGCUCGAUUCGGCCGAAGUGGACGGAUGAAUGUUCGCUUGUCCAUCGAAAAAUGAUGGCCCCUCCAGCGGAGCGCCGUACUUGGCUCGCCAGAAAUUGAGACAUUGUUUUAUCAGACUAGAUUUUGUACUUUCUGGUGGCAUUUGUAUGUUGUAAUUCUGCAGGUAUCUGUAGAUAAAUUCUGAUUUCACAAUGUUUUUUGAGAGUAGCGUAGUGGCAUCGUGACAGUGAUCCAGCAUUACAUUCAGCGAUUCUGAAACCGGAGCAAACAAUAAAGUGAUUUAAUAUACGAUCUCAACAA